AGAGACUUCGAUGCAGAUGUAACUUUCAUGCACUGCAAUUUGUUCCCAAAAUACAACAAACUGGUGCUUUGCUCCUUCAAAGGUUGCACAAACAUGCAUCUCAUCCUGGACCAUUGGAUCAUUAUCUUGUUGGUCCAUACACAAAAUCAAAUGUGAAAGAAAAAGGGGUUCAUGCUGGAAAAGCUUCAAGAUAUCUAGCUUUACAUCUGAGGUUUGAAAUUGACAUGGU
rnacentral:misc_RNA from 1 species